rnacentral:rRNA from 1 species
AGCGAACGCUGGCGGCAGGCCUAACACAUGCAAGUCGAACGAACUCUUCGGAGUUAGUGGCGGACGGGUGAGUAACACGUGGGAACGUGCCUUUAGGUUCGGAAUAACUCAGGGAAACUUGUGCUAAUACCGAAUGUGCCCUUCGGGGGAAAGAUUUAUCGCCUUUAGAGCGGCCCGCGUCUGAUUAGCUAGUUGGUGAGGUAAAGGCUCACCAAGGCGACGAUCAGUAGCUGGUCUGAGAGGAUGAUCAGCCACAUUGGGACUGAGACACGGCCCAAACUCCUACGGGAGGCAGCAGUGGGGAAUCUUGCGCAGUGGGCGAAAGCUUGACGCAGCCAUGCCGCGUGAAUGAUGAAGGUCUUAGGAUUGUAAAAUUCUUUCACCGGGGACGAUAAUGACGGUACCCGGAGAAGAAGCCCCGGCUAACUUCGUGCCAGCCGCCGCAGUAA